rnacentral:rRNA from 1 species
AGCAGUCGCCGCGGGAAUACGUAGGUGGCAAGCGUUGUCCGGAAUUAUUGGGCGUAAAGGGCUCGCAGGCGGGUUCUUAAGUCUGAUGUGAAAGCCCCCGGCUCAGCCGGGGAGGGUCAUUGGAAACUGGGAAACUUGAGUGCAGAAGAGGAGAGUGGAAUUCCACGUGUAGCGGUGAAAUGCGUAGAGAUGUGGAGGAACACCAGUGGCGAAGGCGACUCUCUGGUCUGUAACUGACGCUGAGGAGCGAAAGCGUGGGGAGCGAACAGGAUUAGAUACCCCAGUAGUCCCUGUCUCUUAUAC